rnacentral:rRNA from 1 species
AUACGUAGGGAGCGAGCGUUGUCCGGAAUUACUGGGCGUAAAGGGUGCGUAGGCGGCAUGGCAAGUCAGAUGUGAAAUCCCCGGGCUUAACUCGGGUGGUGCAUUUGAAACUGCCAAGCUUGAGUGCAGGAGAGGAAAGCGGAAUUCCUAGUGUAGCGGUGAAAUGCGUAGAUAUUAGGAGGAACACCAGUGGCGAAGGCGGCUUUCUGGACUGUAACUGACGCUGAGGCACGAAAGCGUGGGGAGC